rnacentral:lncRNA from 1 species
CAAUGGAAGAAAAGAUGUCUACCCCCCGAAAGAAAGUCAUUUUAGAACAAUUUUUUUUUCACGCUGGAGUGGCACUUGGCCAAUGUGUCUUCCCACUUUGGAGAGGCUAAGAAAAACAUCAAAUUUGCAGCCCAUUUCUUUACAGCUUUGUAUUUGUAAUGACAUGAAUACUCAUACAUAUACAUUUCAUAUAAGUGUUAGAAAAAAGAUAAAAGAUGUAUAGGGCAGAAACAAUAGAUUUCACGUAUGUCUCUUGUGCAUGGUCUUUUUGGCGCAACAGUAUGGUUACUCUAUUGUAACUUGGGUGAUGAGUCUGAAACAAGGAAAUGACUUCUCUGCAUGCAAGGAUAAGGCUGCAUACAUCUAACCCCCUUCCAGACCUCAUAGUGGCUGGAGCCUCAUACGCAUGGUUUCAAUCUAAUUUCCAUUCGAGUUUAUGCAUUAUUAUAUGUUAGACAUUCCAAUUCUCUCAGAAAAUUGAGUCUCUUCUUGCAUGCAGUGCACAGCCAGCAAUAGUUGCACGUUGCCAUGGCUUGCUGCCCUUUUUGAAUUCAAACUAAUGGUAGAACAGUAGGAAGAGAUGGAUGUUUGGACCAGAACUCUUGGCCUUCUGGCUGGGUUAAAAUCCUCGAGUGCAUACAUUCAUAAAACCCAAUGUUCUAUUAAAAAGAAUGACAAUAACAACAAGAGGCAGCUAUGUGAAAUGUUAUAUAAUCUUGAGUACCCUUAAAUAUCGUUGGAUCAUUUACUGCACACCCUUAAACAUAAUACUGGGCACCAAACAUUAACAUUCUCUAUUUCAUAUGCUCUACUGCAUCCACUAGGUAUUUGCAUAAGAACAGUAAUAAUUUUAAAAUGCUUCAUGAAUUACCUGAUGUUUUGUCCUGUUCCACAUGGCAGUUGAACUAGGCCCAACAGGCUUGUGUUUGACUUGGCGUAUAUUGAAUUAUUUUAUGGGACUAUCCCCUAGUUACUUGGUAAAAACAUGCUCCGUAUCACUGGUCUUUCAAACAGUUUCUAGUCAAGACUUCACUUUGCCAGCAGUAUGUGUAAGUUGAUGUUUUCUGGUUUGCAUAUCCCAGUCUACUCUAAUUAUUACUCGUCCAAACUUUAUCCUGCGAAGUUUUGGUUAGUUAUUUUAUUGUAUUGGUAACUGUUUUUGUCUCCUCCAUAGUUCUUCCUGGUAUAACAGCUUUUUAAUAGUUCUUGUUGUCAGGAUUAUGUCCCUCAAUUCUUUCAAAUCCAUCAGGAGAAAUAGAAGACAGUCAUGCAUAUUAGCUGAUGCAUCUUUUCUUAAAUUUUGUUUUAAAGUAGAAAGAAAUGAACCAGUGUCAUAUAGUUUCUGACUAGUUGCAU